rnacentral:tRNA from 1 species
GAGAUUGUGGCAGAGUGGUUAUGCAGUUGGCUUGAAACCAUCUUAUGGGGGUUCAAUUCCUUCCUUUCUCG